rnacentral:rRNA from 1 species
UACGUAGGGGGCAAGCGUUGUCCGGAUUUAUUGGGCGUAAAGAGCUCGUAGGCGGUUUGUCGCGUCUGCUGUGAAAACCUAAGGCUCAACCUUGGGCUUGCAGUGGGUACGGGCAGACUAGAGUGCGGUAGGGGUGACUGGAAUUCCUGGUGUAGCGGUGGAAUGCGCAGAUAUCAGGAGGAACACCUAUAGCGAAGGCAGCUUGCUGGGACGUUACUGACGCUAAGGCGCGAAAGCGUGGGGAGCGAACAGG